rnacentral:tRNA from 1 species
UCGCGGGGUGGAGCAGUUCGGUAGCUCGUCGGGCUCAUAACCCGAAGGUCGCAGGUUCAAAUCCUGCCCCCGCAACCA